rnacentral:rRNA from 1 species
UACGUAGGGGGCUAGCGUUGUCCGGAUUUAUUGGGGCGUAAAGAGCGUGUAGGCGGCCAGGUAGGUCCGUUGUGAAAACUCGAGGCUCAACCUCGAGACGUCGGCGGAAACCCUCUGGCUAGAGUCCGGAAGAGGAGAGUGGGAAUUCCUGGUGUAGCGGUGAAAUGCGCAGAUAUCAGGAAGAACACCCGUGGCUAAGGCGGCUCUCUAGUACGGUACUGACGCUGAGACGCGAAAGCGUGGGGAGCGAACAGG